AAUGUGCUGACACUGCAGCAUCUUUGUGAACCAGCUGGCAGACACUGCUUUGGCUUCCACCUUGCUCCCAGGAACAGAAUCUGGCAGUUUCCAGCAGGGACAGGAAAGUGCAGAGCAACGUUCUAAAGCCAUUAAGAAGUGCUAGGACAACUCAGUUUCUAACAUUCCAGAGCUCUUGAGAUGUAAUGUUCUCACUCUACAGCUCAGCAUGUAUUUUCAGUGGAUAUGUUAAAAGAAUGCUUAAAUGCAAAGCUGGUGAAUAAAGAAAAGAUCAUUCUGUAGCAAUUUUUAGCAGUCCCUGCUUUGUCUCUCAGAAGAAAUUUGGAGACUGAAGAGAAAUUAGAAGCAUCUGAAAAUGGAUUGUCUUGCUCUUCCAUACAGAAUCAGGCACACCAUGGGAUUAAUGAAGACACCCAAAGAGGACAAAGCUG